rnacentral:lncRNA from 1 species
ACACAGCAGCAUGUGCCAACUUCGAGCAUCGGAAGCUGCAAUUUGUGUUUAUCAUGGUUUGGUGGAUUUUUUGGUAAUUUAUUUAGUUUUGCCAGGUAUUUGUCUCAGAUUCUCUCUCUCUCUCUCUCUCUCUCUCUCUCUCUCUCUCUCCUCUCUCUCUUCCUCUCUCUCCCUCUCUCUUCCUCUCUCUUUCCCCUCACUCUUUCUAGGAGACACUACUUCAUUGCCUGGGUACUUGCCUGCAAAAGGUCAAAACACAUUAUUACACCUGCUACCGUUUAUAGGAUAGUCCAGUGUCUUAGUUGUUUUCCUUUUUCCUUAUUUUUGUUCUUUUUAAGGGACGGGGAAAUAAUAAUUAAAAAUAAAAAGAACAAUCAGAAGUUAGAGAGGGAACAGGGGUCGGGAAAGGACUAUGAGCCAAAGGGGAGGGAGAGCCCUGCGCUCUGCCCCUCCCCCGCUCGAGUUCACUGGACGGGCGUCUGCACCCCGUGGUGUGGUGGCGUGUCCCUACUCCCCCCGUACACAUCCUCGGCGCCCGGCAGAGUCCCUCCAGGAGGGGUCAUCCUUUUCUCUUUCUGUCUCCUGUUACAAAACCAAACUCUCACCACCUCCUUCUCCAGCUGUAAGCUGUCCGCGAGGGAAGUGAUCUCCUGGGCCGAGGGCUUGGGGCAUUUGAGGAAAUGGCUCUCCAGAGCCCCCUUGACGCUCACCUCGAUGGAGGUCCGCUUUUUCCGCUUGCGCCCCUGCGCUGCGAUCUUGUCUAUGCUCGUGGGGCUGCCCGAGGACGAGUCCGCCUCCUCCAACCACUUGUUCAACAAAGGCUUCAGCUUGCACAUGUUCUUGAAGCUCAGCUGCAGGGCCUCAAACCUGCAGAUGGUGGUCUGCGAGAACACGUUGCCGUACAGGGUGCCCAGCGCCAGCCCCACGUCUGCUUGGCCCCAGCAGCUGUUUGAUUUGGUGGAGACCCACUCACAUCUGAAUGGUACGUCUUUCCAAAGGGUCCACAGAAUGUCAAAACUGAGGCUCCGACUUCAGAGCAACUGCUUUAAACAGCCAAUCCACACAAAGAGGCAGCUGGCUGCUUUAAUGAAAACUGCCUUAAAGCUAGAAGAACUGCAGCCCUGGGGAAUGAAUUUAUAAGGAGAGAAAAUGCAUUUCAAGUUACCAGUUCUUGGGAAAGACACAAUAAACAUUUACUUAAAAUAUAAAAGGCAGAAAUUAAUCUUUAAUUAUGUAGCAAUACGUUGUCUCCUGAAUAAAAUAAUUCUCUCAUUUAGAUUUAUAUGUUACUAUCUGGAUCUACAUUUUGCAAGUUCCUAAAAAUGUAUCUGGACCCGUCUCAAAAAUAUUUUGAAUAAGUAAGUUUUCUGAAAGUAGAAAUCCCUUACUUCAUGUAUAUGAUUGGCAAUUCUUUGUCCAUGUUUCACAUCCUAAUAAUUCUAUCUUCUCUACUAUGUAAACUAGUGAAAUAUAAUGUUCUAAAGUCAGUAGUAUUUGAAAUG